AAUAAGCUAUUAGGUGGAUGACUCGGCUCAAGCGCUGAUGAAGGGCGCGACAAGCUGCGCAAAGCUCCGGGUAGCCGCACGUAGGCGUUGAACCGGAGAUACCCUAAUGCGACUUCAGCAUUAAAUCCGUAAGGAUGGGGAACGCGGGGAAUUGAAACGUCUUAGUACCCGCAGGAAAAGAAACCAAUUGGGAUGCUGUUAGUAACAGCGAGUGAAAACAGCACAAGGCAAACUGAAUCCUUUGUAGAAAUGCAAAGGAGAUGUGGUGUUUGGUCCAUACGUUAAAUUCCUAACCUGGAAAGCCAAAGUUGCCUGGAAAGGCACGCUAUAAAGUGUGAUAGCCACGUAGGCGUAACUGGGAGGAGCUAGUAUGGUAAUCAGAGUACCGUUAACCGGAUACUUAACGGGAAUUUGGGGGGCAUCAACCUCUAACCUUAAAUACGUCUUGAGUCCGAUAGCAAACUAGAGUACAGUGAUGGAAAGUUGAAAAGCACCCUUAACAGGAAGUGCAAAGAACCUGAAACCUAAUAGCGAUAGUCGGACACGGCGAUGAGUUGUGUCAUACGUUUCGAAUAACGUGCCAGGGAGUUUAUUUGAGUGGCAAGGGUAAUUCCUUAAAGAAGGACCCGAAGCGAAAGCAACAUGCCCGCAAUUCAUGAGGGGCGCGGUACGAAAGUGCCGGUAGUCACUUGGAUACGACCCGAAGCCAGACGAUCUAGCCCAUGGUAAGGUGAAGCCCCGGUAAAACGGGGUGGAGGCCUGCAGAGGUUCUACGAGCAAGUGUUCUUCUAACCUAGGGCUAGGGGUAAAAAGCCCAUCGAGUCUGGCGAUAGCUGGUUCCUAUCGAAGUUGGCCGCAGUCAAGCUUUGGCAGAGAUUAUCAGGAAGGUAGAGCUACGGGUUAAGAGCUUAGGACCCGAAAGGGUUCGGCACUUUGUCCAACUCCGAAUUUCCUGACAUCGAAGAAGCCAAAAGACGGGUAACGUUGGGGUAAACUUCGUUACCGAGAGGGGAACAACCCGGACUGGAGUUAAGGUCCCAAAAUAUCGGCUAAGUGUUAAAGGGAUAAGGGCGUCUAUUGUCAAAGACAGCGAGGAGGUUGGCUCAGAAGCAGCCACCCUUUAAAAAGUGCGUAACAGCUUACUCGUCAAGACAAUAGGCCCUGAAAAUGGACGGGGCUAAGCCGGUUACCGAUACUUCAGACAUGCUAAAAGCAUUGUGGUAGAUAGGCGUCCUGCGAGGGCAGAAGUGCCUUCGAGAGUUGGUAUCAACCUCGCAGAAAUGAGAAUCCUGGCGGUAGUAGGAUCAUAGAAGAGUUAGAAUCUCUUCCACUGAAAGGGCAAGGGUUCCUUGGCAAUGCAGAUCAGCCAAGGGUUAGUUGGUCCUAACCAAACUCAUAGAUUGAGUCGCAGGAAAGGGCAAGAGGUUAAUAUUCCUCUACUAUUCAAGUAUGUGCGGCAACGCAAUUUCUGUUUCUGACGCUUUGGAUCAGGCUAACACGGAUAGCUUUUCGUGUCAACCAUUGCAAAUCAAGGGAGUAUCAUAACGAUGAGAACUUGAUUAAAGGUGGGACGAGUACUCCUUUGGAGUAUUUAACUGAUAUCUUGAGCCCCUGAAAAAGGAACAGAAAAAAAUCUUGGAUAACCAUACCCAGAACCAGCACAGGUGCCCCUAGGUGAGAAGCCUAAAGUGUGAAGGGUUAACCCAAGUGAGGGAACUCGGCAAAUUAGCUCCGUACCUUCGGUAUAAGGAGUCCCUGCUGUUGUUUCGCAAGAUGCGGCAGCAGGGUGCAAUUACAAAGGGAGCCCGACUGUUUAACAAAAACUUAACAGACUGCAAGCCUGUAAAGGUGUGUAUAGUCUGUGACGCCUGCCCAGUGCCGGUACUUCAAACUCGGUUUCAACUGAGCUAAGAGCCGGUAAACGGCGGGGGUAACUAUAACUCUCUUAAGGUAAACAUUACGAUUGCCUUAAGGUCCGCAAGUAGUUAAACAAAUACGUCGGAAAAUACGGAAUACAAAUUCGGCUAUAUGCUGGGAAAUCUCGAAGAAAGUUUCUAGGAAAAUUUUUGGCGACAAAAAUAAAAUCUAAAAAUGAAACUGGAGAGAUUAUCAGCAGGAAAGACUGAAAAAAAUCAUCGGUUGGGUACUAUAUAUCCAGCCGUAAACAAAAUUUCAGAAUCCUCAGAGACUAUAUGCCGGAACUUGAUAAUAGUCAAGUAAGAGAUAGUCCGAUCCAUUAAGCGAUUAAUGGAGAUAAGCAGAAAUGUUUAUCCGCCUCAGAAACGAGGUUAGUACAACAAUAAAAUGUUGGAAGUAACAAAAAUGAGCGUAAUACCUUGUCGAUUGAAUGUCGACUUGCACGAGUGGCGUAACGAGGUUCCCGCUGUCCCCACUUGGUUCCCUCUGAACACUCCUUCCUGGUGCAGAAGCCAGGGAUUUCCAGUGGGAAGUGAAGACCCCGUGAAACUUUACUGUAGCUUAAUGCUGCGGCAUCGGGCUUGUUGUGUAGUGUAGGUGGUAGCUAACCAAUCGCAAGAAAGGAGCGCGACAAUGAAACACCACUCUUCGAGUCUGAUGCUGCUAACACAGCAAUGUGGACAACAUUAGGUGGACAGUUUGGCUGGGGUGGCACCCUGCUGAAAAUGUAUCAGCAGGGCCCAAUGGUUGGCUCAACCGGGUCAGCAAUCCGGUGUAGAGUGCAAGGGCAGAAGCCAGCCUGACAGGAUGACUAACAAUAUGGCAUCCUGAGUAGAAAUACUGGCCUAGCGAACCUCUAUGUCCUCCUUGAUGGGGGCUAGAGAUGACAGAAAAGUUACUCCGGGGAUAACAGAGUCGUCUCGCCCGAGAGUUCACAUCGACGGCGAGGCUUGCUACAUCGAUGUCGGCUUUUCCUAUCCUGGGCGUGCAGAAGCGUCCAAGGGUGCGGGUGUUCACCGAUUAAAAGGGAUCAUGAGCUGGGUUCAGAACGCUGUGAGGCAGUUUGUUUAAUAUCUACUGGAAAUGCAGAUGUCAGAAAGGAAGGGACUUCUAGUACGAGAGGAACGGAGUCUCGGCGCCUCUGGUCCACCUGUUGUCCGGCAGGGCAAGCAGGGCAGCUACGCGCUACGGGAUAAGUGCUGAAAGCAUCUAAGCACGAAACCCCCCUUGAAAAGAGACAUCAUAGGACACUUGAAAAACACAAGUUUGAUAGGAGCGGUGUGUACGCACGAAGCUUCGGCGACGUGUUCAGCAUGCGCUCACUAACAGUCCAUCAACUAGUAU
rnacentral:rRNA from 1 species